rnacentral:rRNA from 1 species
UACGGGGGGAGCAAGCGUUGUUCGGAUUUACUGGGCGUAAAGGGCGCGUAGGCGGCCAGCACAAGUCAGUUGUGAAAUCUCCGAGCUUAACUCGGAAAGGUCAACUGAUACUGUGCGGCUAGAGUGCGGAAGGGGCAACUGGAAUUCUUGGUGUAGCGGUGAAAUGCGUAGAUAUCAAGAGGAACACCUGCGGCGAAGGCGGGUUGCUGGGCCGACACGUGACGCUGGAGGCGCGAAAGCUAGGGGAGCGAACGGG